CAGGACGAACGCUGGCGGCGUGCCUAAUACAUGCAAGUCGAGCGGACCGACGGGAGCUUGCUCCCUUAGGUCAGCGGCGGACGGGUGAGUAACACGUGGGUAACCUGCCUGUAAGACUGGGAUAACUCCGGGAAACCGGGGCUAAUACCGGAUGCUUGAUUGAACCGCAUGGUUCAAUCAUAAAAGGCGGCUUCGGCUGCCGUUUACAGAUGGACCCGCGGCGCAUUAGCUAGUUGGUGAGGUAACGGCUCACCAAGGCGACGAUGCGUAGCCGACCUGAGAGGGUGAUCGGCCACACUGGGACUGAGACACGGCCCAGACUCCUACGGGAGGCAGCAGUAGGGAAUCUUCCGCAAUGGACGAAAGUCUGACGGAGCAACGCCGCGUGAGUGAUGAAGGUUUUCGGAUCGUAAAGCUCUGUUGUUAGGGAAGAACAAGUACCGUUCGAAUAGGGCGGUACCUUGACGGUACCUAACCAGAAAGCCACGGCUAACUACGUGCCAGCAGCCGCGGUAAUACGUAGGUGGCAAGCGUUGUCCGGAAUUAUUGGGCGUAAAGCGCGCGCAGGCGGUUUCUUAAGUCUGAUGUGAAAGCCCCCGGCUCAACCGGGGAGGGUCAUUGGAAACUGGGGAACUUGAGUGCAGAAGAGGAGAGUGGAAUUCCACGUGUAGCGGUGAAAUGCGUAGAGAUGUGGAGGAACACCAGUGGCGAAGGCGACUCUCUGGUCUGUAACUGACGCUGAGGCGCGAAAGCGUGGGGAGCGAACAGGAUUAGAUACCCUGGUAGUCCACGCCGUAAACGAUGAGUGCUAAGUGUUAGAGGGUUUCCGCCCUUUAAUGGUGCAGCAAACGCAUUAUACACUCCCCCCGGGGAGAGCAGGGUCAACACUAGUGAAUCUCAGAGGAGUUGACGGGCCCCCGCACAGGCGGAUCAAGCGUGUGGUUUAAUUCGAACCAACGCAAAGAACCUUACCAGGUCUUGACCUCCUCUGACAUCCCUAGAGAUUGGGCUUCCCCUUCGGGGGCAGAGUGACAGGUGGUGCAUGGUUGUCGUCAGCUCGUGUCGUGAGAUGUUGGGUUAAGUCCCGCAACGAGCGCAACCCUUGAUCUUAGUUGCCAGCAUUCAGUUGGGCACUCUAAGGUGACUGCCGGUGACAAACCGGAGGAAGGUGGGGAUGACGUCAAAUCAUCAUGCCCCUUAUGACCUGGGCUACACACGUGCUACAAUGG
rnacentral:rRNA from 1 species